rnacentral:tRNA from 2 species
GGCCUAGGUAGAUGCUAAAUUGCAAGUUUGGUUUUGAAAAUGCAGAUUUUCGUAGGCCU